CUUGCUCUCUGUAUAAGCUGUGCUGUGGGCAUUUUUCUUUAUUACUAGAAUAUAACAAAAAUAUUGUAAACCACCUUCUAGCCUGCCAAGUGAAACAACUAUUAAACUGUCAAUCGGCACAACACAACUUUUAUAAGGGAAACAAAGAUGGCACCACUGAAAUCAAAUAUCACAUAUGACAAUAAUGAUAGCUUGCAGACCAUCACGAAUAUGAUGCCUGCUAAAAUAUCACAGUAGGUUAUCAUGUUUAUACUCAAUCUAUACUGUACUCACUGGACGAUUUAUACUCCCUCUUCAGUUAUAAAAAAAUACAGUACUCUGUAUUCCCGAGUACUCUCAUUGCAAACAAUAAUAUUACACGAAAAUAUCACAAAUAUAUUAACUUUGAUCUCUGUUACUAAUUAGGAAGAAGGUCAUUUCUACUGAAACCACAAUGACAAUGUCAAUCCCACUCCUAGAGUUGUUGCAGAUCAACAGCUGCUAGAUAAAAAGUGAUGGAUUCCAAUGAUAUUUUAGAAAUAUCAUGCACAUCGGCACUAACGUAACGAUGACGGGUCGAACUGAGACACAACGAGAAGAGGACAUGGGAGAGAUAAAGAUGUAUUCUAGCGACGUUGAAAAAGAAUCCAUCAACAAGGGUUAUGAGACGAUGUCGUUGGAAGGGGACGAAAGGUUUCGAAGUUUUUUACAACACAAUGACAUUGAAAUUGCAGGGAUUUGUCUGGCUAUUUUGGUUUUCAUUUAUGCUCUCGCGAAACGGUAAAAAACUGGUGAAGCUGGUUGGCACGGUGAGUAUUGUCCGUUACAGACAUUUUUAGACCUUCCAUGUGAAGUAUUCAUGUUAACUACAUAUAUUUCUUUUGCAUGAUAGGUAUGAGUUGAGAAAGUAGUUUUUAUUAUACUUGCUCAAACAUCAUGUGAAUGAAGUUAAAGAGCACUUUUAUGAUAUUGUGCGGGAAUUUCUUAAGCCCGUCAAGUAGAUCUUAAUAAUUUAUAACAUAUUUUUAGUUUGGUCAUCAUUUUAUAUGUAUACAUUGUCAAUUUGCCAUUUUGUUAUCGGUUUAAAUUACAAGUGAAGUGGACUUCAAUUAUUAUGCAAUUGUGACCGUGUUAUAUUAUCUCUACCUGUGAAAUUUAACAUGCAUUAUCUUUAUAUAACUUCAACUAAAUAUUUCAGCAGCCCGUGGCAACGCACGGGCAUUCUACUAGUAGGUAAAAUAGAUGGG